rnacentral:misc_RNA from 1 species
UUCACCUCCACAGAUACCAAAUAGGUUAUUGUAUAGUACGAUACAACAGAGGAAAAGAAACGGGGAAAUACUCUAUUACGAAAUAUUUAAAUGGAAAAUGAAACAUGCUCCAAGUGAAGUUCAUCGCUUUUGCGACGUUUCAGAGGACGAGCAAGUGAGGAGAGUUUUAAAUUCCUGGAUAAGAGAUGUGGAUGACAGGAGUUCAUGCCAGGCACUGCAGAUCCUGUUUUCUUUUUCUGUUCCUUACCAGCAAGCACUUGACCAUAUCUUGAGCUUAAAAGUUCCCAUUAUCUCUGCAGGUGCAGUUCCCGGAGGAAGGGGGUCAAAUGAGGCUAAAUCAUCAGAUCCAAAAUGGUCCUAACAGGGAAAUGGAUACUGGGAGUUUCUUCUUAGGGAGCGAGGUGCAGACAUCAUAGCAUUUGAUCAGAACACAGUGUAUCCAAAAGCCAUGAGAUACAUAGACAUAACGGAAGGUAGCCCAAGCAUUUUACAUGAUCAUGAAGACAGGGCUUUAUUACUUAGCUGGCCCGAUCAUGAAGAGGACUGUUCUUUUUCUCUGGAUUGCCUGAAGAAUUAUAAAGGAGGUACUAUCAUUCACAUCGGUGAACUGUUCGGCGAAACUCUCUCGGCCAAUCCCUGGGGACAAACUACAUCGCGUGCCUUUCAGCUGGAACUUGGAGAACGUUUCCGCUGCGUGUCACGUGUCCAGCUACCAAACUGGCCUGGUCAUAUGGACUCACUGACCGUUUGGUCACGUGCUUCACAGCCCGUAGAGUGCGAUGGGGCUGAAAUGGUGUUUGUCCGUUUGGAGAACCCAAGAUAUCUUGGAUGGAAUGUCACGUAAUUCAAUAGGACUGCGUACGCUUAGAAUAUUGUGCUUUACCUCUCUUAAUUUAUUAUCUGAGAAAGACAUUCCAAUGGGCAAAACCUUCCGGCUCGAAAUGCGGAAGAUUUUAUGCCUACAGUAUUUCACAAAUCGAUCGCGUGGUACAAAAUUCACAAGAAUGAGGACAUGUAAGAAAGAAAAGUCAACUUCACUGAUUGAAGUAACUUUGCUUUGAAUCUUUGGAGGCUGAACACUCUUUGGGCAGUAUUAAAUCUUUCAUGAUAGUAAUCAAGAUACAAUUAUAGAAACAUCACAAAGCAAAACUCCUACAUGAUCUGUUAUUUUAUUUUCUGUAUUAAAGACUACGGAAUAAACCAUCAUACUA